rnacentral:rRNA from 1 species
CCUACGGGAGGCAGCAGUGGGGGAUAUUGCACAAUGGGGGAAACCCUGAUGCAGCGACGCCGCGUGUGGGAAGACGGUCCUCUGGAUUGUAAACCACUGUCCCCAGGGACGAAGAUGACGGUACCUGGGGAGGAAGCUCCGGCUAACUACGUGCCAGCAGCCGCGGUAAUACGUAGGGAGCGAGCGUUGUCCGGAAUUACUGGGUGUAAAGGGAGCGUAGGCGGGACUGCAAGUUGGGUGUCAAAUCUACCGGCUCAACCGGUAGCCGCACUCAAAACUGCAGUUCUUGAGGGAAGUAGAGGCAGGCGGAAUUCCUAGUGUAGCGGUGGAAUGCGUAGAUAUUAGGAGGAACACCAGUGGCGAAGGCGGCCUGCUGGGCUUUUACUGACGCUGAGGCUCGAAAGUGUGGGGAGCAAACAGGAUUAGAUACCCCAGUAGUC